UACAGAGGUCCCGAGCGUUGUUCGGAUUCACUGGGCGUAAAGGGUGCGCGGGUGGGUUGGCAAGUUUGAUGUGAAAGCCCCGGGCUUAACCCGGGAAUGGCAUUGAAUACUGCUGAUCUGGAGGAUCGGAGGGGGGACUGGAAUUCCUGGUGUAGCGGUGAAAUGCGCAGAUAUCAGGAGGAACACCGGUGGCGAAGGCAGUUCUCUGGGCCGUAACUGACGCUGAGGAGCGAAAGCGUGGGGAGCGAACAGG
rnacentral:rRNA from 1 species